CGUAAGGCGCCGAAUGAGUCAUUAAAAAAUUAACAUCAUCCGAUCCCUAGUCGGCAUAGUUUAUGGUUAAGACUACGACGGUAUCUGAUCGUCUUCGAUCCCCUAACUUUCGUUCUUGAUUAAUGAAAACAUCCUUGGCAAAUGCUUUCGCAGUAGUUAGUCUUCAAUAAAUCCAAGAAUUUCACCUCUGACAAUUGAAUACUAAUGCCCCCAACUAUCCCUAUUAAUCAUUACGUCGAUCCUAAGAAACCAACUAAAAUAGGUUCAAACGUCCUAUUUCAUUAUUCCAUGCUAAUGUAUUCAAGCGUAAGCCUGCUUUAAACACUCUAAUUUUUCAAGGUAACAGUCCUGAUUCCUUGCAACACCAAAUUAAUGGCAUC
rnacentral:rRNA from 1 species